CGAAUGGGGAGAUUCAUCGACGACGAAGCUGGCUCCCGUUGGCGUGCGAUACCCCCGCUGGGACCUCGGUUCCAGAACGCGGGGUACCGCCCUUCGGCGAAUAACCGGCGACGUAGUCGUGCACUUCUCCCUUAGUAGAACGUCGCGACCCGUUGUGUGUCGGUCUACGGCCUGAUCUAUUAGACUGUCGCGGUGGCAUUCGUUCGCUCGCGGCAGAGGGUCGGUCGCCCGGCCGGCUGCACGACGGUACUCCGACGGUAUCGGGCCGCAACCAAUCCCAUUCUCGAAUGGUAUAUGCGUCCAGGCCCGUCGCAAGCUCGGACAGCACCCGGAGCGUGUGGACGCAGUGCCCUCGCCGGGUCUGGCCAGCUGUUAGCAGACGGUGUCCUCGGACCGGCCAAGCUUCGAAAUACCGGUCAGCGACGCUAUUGCUUUGGGUACUCUCAGGACCCGUCUUGAAACACGGACCAAGGAGUCUAACAUGUGCGCGAGUCAUUGGGACAUUGAAACCUAAAGGCGAAAUGAAAGUGAAAGUCGUCGUAAGAGUCGACCAAGGGAGGAUGGGCCGCGUCACGUCGCGGCCUCGCACUCCCGGGGCGUCUCGUUCUCGUUGAGAAGAGGCGCACCCAGAGCGUACACGUUGGGACCCGAAAGAUGGUGAACUAUGCCUGGUCAGGACGAAGUCAGGGGAAACCCUGGUGGAGGUCCGUAGCGAUUCUGACGUGCAAAUCGAUCGUCGGAACUGGGUAUAGGGGCGAAAGACUAAUCGAACCAUCUAGUAGCUGGUUCCCUCCGAAGUUUCCCUCAGGAUAGCUGGCACUCGCUCGUUCAUUCGUGAACGCGUGCGAGUUUCAUCUGGUAAAGCGAAUGAUUAGAGGCCUUGGGGCCGAAACGACCUCAACCUAUUCUCAAACUUUAAAUGGGUGAGAUCUCUGGCUUGCUUGAAAUCAUGAAGCCAAGAGACUAAUUUGAAUCAGAGUGCCAAGUGGGCCAAUUUUGGUAAGCAGAACUGGCGCUGUGGGAUGAACCAAACGCAAAGUUAAGGCGCCUAAGUCGACGCUCAUGGGAUACCAUGAAAGGCG
rnacentral:rRNA from 1 species